rnacentral:rRNA from 1 species
GCUUGUCUCAAAGAUUAAGCCAUGCAUGUCUAAGUAUAAGCACCCUUAUACUGCGAAACUGCGUACAGCUCAUUAUAUCAGCAAUUAUUUAUUUGAUGGUCACUCACUACUUGGAUAACCGUGGUAAUUCUAGAGCUAAUACAUGCGUCAAGACCCGACUUUUUGGAAGGGUUGUAUUUAUUAGAUAAAGAACCAAUCCAUGCUUGCAUGGUUUUGUGGUGAUUCAUAAUAACUGAUCGAAUCGCAUGCCUUCGGGCGGCGAUGUAUCAUUCAAGUUUCUGACCUAUCAGCUUCCGACGGUAGGGUAUUGGCCUACCGUGGCAAUGACGGGUAACGGGGAAUUAGGGUUCGAUUCCGGAGAGGGAGCCUGAGAAACGGCUACCACAUCUAAGGAAGGCAGCAGG